rnacentral:rRNA from 1 species
CGGACGGCUGAGUAACACGUAGGUGACCUGCCCUUGAGUGGGGAAUAACGGUCCGAAAGGAUCGCUAAUACCGCAUGUGACCGUUCCGUUUUGGCGGGAUGAGGAAAGCCGAAAGGCGCUCGAGGAGGGGCCUGCGUCCGAUUAGCUAGUUGGUGGGGUAAAGGCCUACCAAGGCGACGAUCGGUAGCUGGUCUAAGAGGAUGAUCAGCCAGACUGGGACUGUGACACGGCCCAG